UACAGAGGGCGCGAGCGUUGUCCGGAAUCACUGGGCGUAAAGGCGCGUAGGUGGCCACCAUAAGGCCGCGGUGAAAGUUUGGGGGCUCAACCCCAGAUCGGCCGCGGCGACUGUGGGGCUGGGGCACUGUAGAGGCAGAUGGAAUUCCGGGUGUAGCGGUGGAAUGCGUAGAGAUCCGGAAGAACACCAACGGCGAAGGCACUCUGCUGGGCCGACACUGACACUGAGAGACGAAAGCUAGGGGAGCGAAUGGG
rnacentral:rRNA from 1 species